AUUGAACGCUGGCGGCAGGCUUAACACAUGCAAGUCGAGCGAGUUGCGAACGGGUGAGUAACGCGUAGGUAACUACCUAUUAGAGGGGGAUAACUAUUGGAAACGAUAGCUAAUACCGCAUACUAGUAGAUGGACCUGCGUUGUAUUAGCUAGUAGGUAGGGUAAUGGCCUACCUAGGCAACGAUACAUAGCCGACCUGGGAGGGUGAUCGGCCACACAGGGAAUGAGACACGGCCCAGACUCCUACGGGAGGCAGCAGUAGGGAAUCUUCGGCAAUGGGGGGAACCCUGACCGAGCAACGCCGCGUGAGUGAAGAAGGUUUUCGGAUCGUAAAGCUCUGUUGUUAAGGAAGCGGUACUUAACCAGAAAGGGACGGCUAACUACGUGCCAGCCGCCGCGGUAAUUC
rnacentral:rRNA from 1 species